UCUCUGGUGAGUCAGGACUAUGUCAAU
rnacentral:piRNA from 1 species